CCUACGGGAGGCAGCAGUGAGGAAUAUUGGUCAAUGGCCGGAAGGCUGAACCAGCCAUGCCGCGUGAAGGUCAGUGCCCUAUGGGCGUUAAACUUCUUUUGUGCGGGAGCAAUAAUGGUCACGUGUGGCCAGACGAGAGUACCGUACGAAUAAGCAUCGGCUAACUCCGUGCCAGCAGCCGCGGUAAUACGGGGGAUGCAAGCGUUAUCCGGAUUUAUUGGGUUUUAAGGGUGCGUAGGCUGUGAGGUAAGUCAGCGGGGAAAUGCCCCCGCUCAACGGGGUGAAGUGCCAUUGAUACUGGCUUGCUGGAAUGCGGAUGCCGUGGGAGGAAUGUGUGGUGUAGCGGGGAAAUGCAUAGAUAUCACACAGAACACCGAGUGCGAAGGCAUCUCACGAAUCCGCGAUUGACGCUGAUGCACGAAAGCGCGGGUAUCAAACAGGAUUAGAUACCCUAGUAGUC
rnacentral:rRNA from 1 species